UACGUAGGGCGCAAGCGUUGUCCGGAAUUAUUGGGCGUAAAGAGCUCGUAGGCGGUUUGUCGCGUCUGCUGUGAAAGCCCGGGGCUCAACCCCGGGUCUGCAGUGGGUACGGGCAGACUAGAGUGCAGUAGGGGAGACUGGAAUUCCUGGUGUAGCGGUGAAAUGCGCAGAUAUCAGGAGGAACACCGGUGGCGAAGGCGGAUCUCUGGGCCGUAACUGACGCUGAGGAGCGAAAGCAUGGGGAGCAAACAGG
rnacentral:rRNA from 1 species